ACGAACGCUGGCGGCAUGCCUAACACAUGCAAGUCGAACGGGAUCCGGACUUCGGUUCGGUGAGAGUGGCGGACGGGUGAGUAACGCGUGGGAACCUGCCCAGUGGUGGGGGAUAACUGCGGGAAACUGCAGCUAAUACCGCAUGAGCCCGAGAGGGGAAAGAUUUAUCGCCAUUGGAGGGGCCCGCGUUCGAUUAGGUAGUUGGUGAGGUAAUGGCUCACCAAGCCGACGAUCGAUAGCUGGUCUGAGAGGAUGAUCAGCCACACUGGGACUGAGAUACGGCCCAGACUCCUACGGGAGGCAGCAGUGGGGAAUAUUGGACAAUGGGGGCAACCCUGAUCCAGCAAUGCCGCGUGAGUGAUGAAGGCCUUCGGGUUGUAAAGCUCUUUUGCCAGGGACGAUGAUGACGGUACCUGGAGAAUAAGCCCCGGCUAACUUCGU
rnacentral:rRNA from 1 species